UAGCUAGUUGGUGGGGUAAGGGCUUACCAAGGCGACGAUCGGUAGCUGGUCUGAGAGGAUGGCCAGCCACACUGGAACUGAGACACGGUCCAGACUCCUACGGGAGGCAGCAGUGGGGAAUAUUGGACAAUGGGGGGAACCCUGAUCCAGCAAUGCCGCGUGUGUGAAGAAGGCCUGAGGGUUGUAAAGCACUUUGGGUGAGGAGGAAGUUUGUUGGGUUAAGAGCUGGACAAAUUGACGUUACUCACAGAAUAAGCACUGGCUAACUCCGUGCCAGCAGCCGCGGUAAUACGGAGGGUGCGAGCGUUAAUCGGAAUUACUGGGCGUAAAGGGUGCGUAGGUGGUUGUAUAAGUUAUCUGUGAAAUUCCUGGGCUUAACCUGGGGUGGUCAGAUAAGACUGUAUGACUCGAGUAUGGGAGAGGGUAGUGGAAUUUCCGGUGUAGCGGUGAAAUGCGUAGAGAUCGGAAGGAACACCAGUGGCGAAGGCGGCUACCUGGCCCAAUACUGACACUGAGGCACGAAAGCGUGGGGAGCAAACAGGAUUAGAUACCCUGGUAGUCCACGCUGUAAACGAUGUCAACUAGCUGUUGGUUAUAUGAAUAUAAUUAGUGGCGC
rnacentral:rRNA from 1 species